UGUCCAGGCACCCUUUUGCAAUUUUCGUUUGAAUUGAUUUUUUUAAAAGCACCUGAUAUACACUUUUCUUCUUAUUCUUCUCCUAGUCCUCUAUUCAAGGCCCUACCACAGAGACACACAGGAACGGAACUCAGAAUCACAAACAAAGAAACUUUGAUCCAAGAAAGAAAAUGAUCUUUAAAAAGACCCUCGUUUCAUGCUGGCCAAUGCUGAGAAAAUCUGCUCUGGAGGAUAUUUGGAGACGCUGAUUAAAAGCCCAAGACCCAAGCAAGGAUAGGAUUUCCCAGACAUUCCCGAGGGAGAAAAUGCCAUGUCCUUUCCUUGUGGUGUCACAUCAGAAUCUGAAGGCUGCUAGAGAAGGGAGAGAAACAUGAAAGUGAGUCCCAUGCUGAUUGUUGUUGAAAUACCUAGAAAGAAACUGGCAAAGACUAUCCAAGGGAUGCUAAGACAUGUCCGAACUUAUAAAACAGUAGAACCUGAAUAGGAAUUUGAAGUUGUCUAUACUCUCCUCAGCCACACCCUGCCAUUUUACAGAGCCAAGGAGCAUCAAUAUUUGGCUUCAGAAAUGCUGCUAAAUCUUGAAUAAACAGGAGUGAACAAGCAAGAUUGUCUUCUCUGGGGAAGUUAGCUGUCAUGUUGUGGGGAUACUCAAGCAGUUUAUAAAGAGGUUCAUGUCGCAAGGAAUGGAGGCCUCCUGUCAACAGCCAUGUAAAGGAACCAUCUAGGAAACAGAUUCUCCAGCCCCAGUCAGACCUUCAGAUGAUUACAGCCCCUACCAACCUUCUGACUGCGGUGGAAGGAAAGUUCCUGAACGAGAACCACCCAGGUAAGAUAAUCCUGGAUUCCUGACCUAGAGAAACUCUGAGAUAAUAUUUGUUAUUUAAAGCCACAGCUUUGUGGGACAAUGUGUUAAACAUAACUAAUACAUGUGAUUAGGGAAGCUCUUAAUGAGAGGCUAACAGUUGGGCAGAGACCAGAAUGAAAAAGGGGAAUGAGCCAGGUAAAUAUAUGUAUGAAGAAUGCUUGAAGUAGAGAGGAUAGAACUGGUAUAGGUCCUGUGGUUAGAACAAGCUUCAUAUUUUUCAAGGGAAAUUGCAGGACUUGGAAAUGGGCAAGAGAUACCUAAGUAUCCAUUCAGUAGAGGGCUGAGCAUUGUCUAGGGUAUCCUCUGGGGAUAUCUGAUUAUAUUGAGAUGUUUCUCUUUAACUGAAUUUCCAUUUUCUAAGUUAUUUUACUUGUGGAAAACUGACAGUAAUGCAAAUGAUCCUCCUUAAAGAAAUACAAUGAAUUUUGUCUGAUAGAGAUGUGACUGAAUUCUACCCUGUAGAAAAGAUAGUCCCAAACAAUACAUUUUAAGCAGCUCUAUUGAAAUAUGAUUCUUAUACCAUACAAUUCAUCCAUUUAAAGCUUACAGUUCAGUAUUGUUCAGUAUGUGCACAAGCUUGUACAAACAGCACAACGAUCUAAUUUUAGACCAUUUUAUUGCUCCUCCUCAUCCGUACAAAGAAACCCUAUCCCUAUUAGCAGCUCGUUCUCAUUCUUUUUCAUGUUUUGCUUUCUCCAUCUCCCAAGCCCUAGGCAACCACUAAUCUACUCUCUGUUUCUAUAGAUUUGCUUAUUCUGAAAAUUUUAUGUAAAUGUAAACAUACAGUAUACAGUCUUUGAAAACUGACUUCUGUCAGUUAGCAUAAUGGUUUCAAAGUUCAUCUAUGCUAUAACAUGUAUCGAUACUUCAUUCUUUAUUGCCAAAUAAUAUUCAAUUGUAUGGAUAGCUAUAUUUUUGUAUUAUUUUGUAUAGGUAACUAUUUUCUCCCAUUAUGAGGUUUGUCUUUUUCACUUCUUGAUGGUAUUAUUUGCAAAAUAAGAGUUUUUAAUUUUAAAUCCAAUUUAUAUUAUUUCUUUUGUUGCCUGUGCUUUUGAUGUUAUAUCAAAGACACCAUUGCUUGACAUAAAGCCACAAAGAUUUAUUUUUUGUUUUCUUCUAAGAGUUUUAGUGUUUUAGCUCUUACAUUUAGGUUUAUGAUUCAUUUUGAGCUUAUGUCUGUAUAUGUUAUGUGGUAGAGAUCCAAAUUUAUUCUUUUGUAUGGGGAUGUCCAGAUGUCCCUCCACAAUUUGUUAAAAAGAGUAUUCUUUCUUCAUUAAAUUGUCAUUGCACUUUUGUUGAACAUCAACUGAUCAUAAAAAUAUGGUUUAUUUAUGCACUCUCAAUUUUGUUUCAUUGAUCUAUACAUCUAGCCUUGUGUCAGUACCACACUUUCUUGGUUACUAUAGAUUUGUAGUAAAUUUUGAAACUGGGAAGUUUGAGUUAUCUAAAUUUAUUGUUGUUUUUCAAGAUUGUUUUAGAUUUUUGGGGUCCUUUGCAUUUCUAAAUGAAUUUAAGGACCAAUUAGUGAUUUCUACAAAGAAGCAGCUGCUAACUUGAUUGGGAUAGUUUUGUACUUGUGGGUUAAAUUGGGAAGCAUACUCAUCUUAAAAAAUAUGAAGUCAUCUGAUCCAUGAACAUGGACUAUCUUUCUAUUCAUUAAAUUUUUAAUUUCCUUCAAUGAUGUUGGUGUAUAUUUUAUUAAAUGUAUUCCUAAGUAUUUUGUUCUCUUUAAUAUUAUUAUAAACAAAAUUGAUUUCUUAAUUUCAUUUUAGAAAUUUUACUGCAGAUGCAUAGAAACACAGGUUAUUUUAGCAUAUUGAUCUUGUAUUCUGCAAACUUGCUCAACUCAUUUACCAGUUUUAAUAGUUUUUUAGUGAAAUUGUAAAUAGUUUCUAUAUAGAAAAUCUUGCCAUCUGCAAAUGGAGAUAGUUUUACUUUUUCCUUUUUAAACUUUGACUUUCAUUUUCACUUCUUUUUCUUAAAUAAUUGCCCUGGCUAGACCCUCCCUUACAAUGUUGAAUAGGAGUUGCAAGAAUGUACAUUCUCAUCUUAAUCCUGAUCUUAUGGGGAGAACAUUCAGUCUUUUACUAUUAAGUAUGAUAUUAGCUGUGGGAUUUCCAUAAUGAUCUUUAUCAGGGUGAGAAAGUCCUUUUCUAGUUCUAGUUUGUUGAGCAUUUUUAUCUUAAAUGGGCAUUGGGCUUUUGUCAGUUUUUUUUCUGUGUCCAUUGAGAAAGGACAUAAGAAAAUGCUUUGCUCUUUCUUCUGUUAGUAUGGCAUAUUACAUUAAGUAAUUUUUUGAUGUUAAACAAACCUUGCAUUUCUUGGAUAAGUCUCACUUUGUUUUAGUGUAUAUAUGUAUUUAUAUGUUGUUUUAAUGAAUUUGCUUGUGCUUUGUUGAGUACUUUUGGGUCUAUAUUAAUAAGGGAUAAUGAUCUGACAUUUUGUUUUCUUAUGGUGUCACUUUGUAUGAUGACCCAGUAAUGCUGACUUCAGAUAACGAGGUGGGAAAUGUUCCUUGCUCUUGUGUUUUUUGGAAGGGUUUCUGAAGUAUUGGUAUCAAUUUUUCUUUGAAUGUUUGCUGAGUUUUAAACAUACUAAUGCAAUUGUUUUACUUGUUAAAGAUUUAUUCAUUAUUUCUAUAUUUCUUGAGUAAUUUUCUGUAAUUUGUGUCUUCUAUAAAUUUAUCUAAUUCAGGUAUGUUAUCUAAUUCAUUGGUAUGUAGUUGUUCAUAGCAUUCCCUUAUAAAAUUUUUUAUUUAUGUAAAGUUGGUAAUGAUGUCUCUUCUUCCAUUCUGACUUCAUAAUUUGAGCCUUCUUUCUUUUUUUUUUUAUUAUUCUAGCUAAAAGCCUUGUCAAUUUUAUUGCUCCAGACAUUAUACUUAGUUUUCCUAUUGGAUUUUAGGCAGUUUUGCAUCUAUCAGUAAAUUCACGCCAACAUUUCUGUCACCCUACAUACCUUGUUCUUCAAAUUCUUUUUUGUAACAAUAUUAACAGGUUACUAAUUCAUUAAUUAAUGAGUUGAAUUUAUUCUUUUAUGAAAGUGAUGUUUUUAAACUUUUGAAAAUUAUAUUUUAGCAGAAAAUAUGAAAAUAAGAGUCAGAGAGUCAUGGAAAAUGAGAUGAGAGGGAAAGACAGGGCAGACCAUGAAAGGCCUUGAAGCCCAUGCUAAGAAGAUUAGUUUCACUCUGAGUGGGAUGAGAAGCUUUUGUCAUCCCCUUAGACAAGUCUUGCCCCUAACUGAGACCUCAGCUAUCUGUAAUAUGUCUCUAUGCCUCCUCACAGGGUGACUGUGAAGAUAGAAUGAGACAGAAUAAAAUCAAAAAUUGCAUUGUUAUUGUUAGUGCCCAAUUGGCUCACCUAUGAGGUCAGUUUUCGGGUACUAACAACUUGGCCUAAAUUUAUUGUUUUCAAAUUCUUACCUAUUACCAGGAUUUCUGAGGGAAGCAGAUACAGAGAAUUUCAGAAGGCUAUGCCCUGGAUUCUGAGAAAGGUAAUUUUGCCCAAGAAAAUGCUGGUGAUUUGCGCAUGGAUAUGGGAUACAGUAUGGUCAUUAGAUCCCUGGAAGAAAAGGAGACAGGGCUGGAGAAGUCUGAAAGCUCAAAAGGCAGAUUUGACCUGUGUCUUCAGAACUCCACAUGGGACUGACUGUAGGUGGUUAGAAGGCUAAGGUGUUAGAGGGGUAGGGUUGAGGAGAGGACACCCAGGUCAAGAGAGCAAUGCUGGGGUGCAUUUCAUGAAGCUGAUGGAAGGCCUGAGAAUGCAAAGGUUUGAGCUUAAAGAAGAAAACAAAA